CCCACGCCCAGGGGCCGGUCCAGAGCCCCCCACCCCACGCCACCCUCACCCGGCUUAGGCGAGCGACAAGGGCUCUCCGUGAACCUUGUAAGGUCUUGUGCUGGCACCUUUCACUCCGCGACAUAUUCACCUCAGUGCCCGUAUUCGGACAGCCGCUCCGCCCGCCAACUGGGAUGACCAGCUCAGGGACAACAGUCCGGGACGGUGGCCGGCCCCCUGAGGGACAAAGGCCACCUUCAAAGGAGCCCACAGAAACACAAAAAGCACAGGGGGAUUCUCUUGCUGCUGAAAAUGACUUUGCCUAGUACCCAGAAUCCAGAAAUGGUCAGAGGGCACCGUCGCCCGGGGUAGGGGUCCACGACGUGGAGGCCCGUGCAGAGAUCGGAGAGGGGCGGCCACGGCCUGGAAGUCGCACGGGGACCGGCAAGCUAUCGCGUAAGCCUGAAGCCCCAGAGACCCCGAUCUCAGAGCCGGCGGGACCCCGCUGCGCCGAGCCGCGGCGGGGCAACUUCCCGACCCGGCUGCGUCCUCGGGCUCGCUCGGGGCUGUCGGACAGAGCCGCCUGCCUGGCCCCAGGUGCGUCAGCACCGGCCCGCGCCUCGGAGAAUCGAAAUGGGGCCGUGAUCCACACUCUUCCCCUCGUGGAGAGAAACUGAGACUCCCGGCUCCGCGACUUAGCCAAUUGCGUGACCGGGACGAAGUCAGGAAACUUCUGAUCUGUGAAGAAAGUAAAUAAAGACAACAGUAGCAGUACUAUAAGCAUUUGUUUACCCAGCGUGAUAGGGUCAAAUGAGAUGGCUUUUUCAAUGAGCAUAUGUAUGAUAUCCACCUACUAUAUGACAGGCACUGCGCUAGGCUCUUUAAUUCUAAAA